GUGUUAAGAACUCGAUUUGCACAAUCUCAUGAAUCCUUGAUCCUUAUACCGCAUGAAGCCAUAGGGACAGUUACAUUUUUAGAAUGGUGAAACUGAGGCACCAAGCGCCAAAAAGCAGAGUAACUUGCCACAGGUCACAGACACAACGAUAGAAGAGCUAUUAUUUGAACGCUGAGCACUUAACACCCUGUAUUCUUGUUACGGUUCUCAGUGAAGCCCAGCAGUCUUUGGGAAACACCAAGGAUUGCUCCGUUUCAGCUGGGAGCUAAUGUGGUGCCAGAGCCCAUUCACGCACGUUGCCCCUAACGGGGCGCGGGGAGAUUUCCCUGAAGUGGAAGAAAGCUAUAUUUCCCCCCUCUGGUUCUCCAAAUUGUCACAAAACAUUUGCGUAAUGACCUGGUGCUGACACGCUUAGAUGAAACUCUAAGGACAACUUGGAUGAAGGUCAACUUUGAAGUAAUUAAAGCAUCCAGAAGACGCAGGCUCUUAGGGAACAGCCGUGACUCCACGAUAAACACGGCUGCGUAGCGAGACGUCACGCUCCCGCGUGCAAACAACCUGGGGCGCGCCCACCCGCGCUCCGCACACUCCUCGGAGCAGCUCCAGUUUUGGAGAAAGUCUGGAGGGCACAUGUUGCUCCUCCCCCUCCCGGUUCAGGGUCAGGCGAGGAGAGAAGGAAAGGCGAGCAAGGCCUCGUCGGGAUGCGGGACCCUUGUAGCCCCAACUAAGU